CCUACGGGAGGCUGCAGUGAGGAAUAUUGGUCAAUGGGCUUACGCCUGAACCAGCCAAGUCGCGUGAGGGAAGACUGCCCUAUGGGUUGUAAACCUCUUUUGUCAGGGAGCAAUUGGCGCUACGUGUAGCGUUAUCGAGAGUACCUGAAGAAAAAGCAUCGGCUAACUCGGUGCCAGCAGCCGCGGUAAUACGGGGGAUGCGAGGGUUAUCCGGUUUUAUUGGGUUUAAAGGGUGCGUAGGCGGAAUGCCAAGUCAGCGGUAAAAUCGCGGGGCUCAACCUCGCUCAGCCGUUGAAACUGGCGGUCUUGAGUGGGCGAGAAGUAGGCGGAAUGAGUGGUGUAGCGGUGAAAUGCAUAGAUAUCACGCAGAACUCCGAUUGCGAAGGCAGCAUACCGGCGCCCAACUGACGCUGAAGCACGAAAGCGUGGGUAUCGAACAGGAUUAGAUACCCUAGUAGUC
rnacentral:rRNA from 1 species